CAUGUCAAGCGUCCUGGUUUGUUGGACUGUGGAGUUAUUGAUUCCCUGUACCUUGUCUGUCUGUAGAUUUUUGGAUUUUGCUUGUCAACUGUUGGAUUGUGUUUCUUUUGAGCCUGCUUGUCUGCUCCCAGUCUGAAUUGUUUUACCUCUGUUGGACUACCUGAAAUCUGUGUGGUCUCUUUUGGAGCCUUUUUCUGGAUGCUGGACGGGUGGUUGCAGUGUUAACGGUAACAUUAACAUGACUGAUUCUUGCGGUGUCCAGGCUCCGAUCCCUGCUCUGCACCAGCCUGCCCACUCCUGUGUCUCACCUACAGACUCAGCUCUGUAUUUGGAACAUUUUAUCAUGUAAAUGUUGAGCCUCUCGCUGCCAAAACUACCUCUUUUUCCCCAACAAAGUGGAACAUAAACACUCGGCUCCAGCGGGGGUUUCCUGGCCCAUUGGUCCUGCACACUCCUCGGCAGUUUAAGUAUCCAGAGGAAUUUGCAUUGUCAAGACUGGCCGCCGCUGGCAAACAGUCAAGGUGCGUUAUGCAGCUGACAAAUAGUUGUUAAAGGCAGAAACAGCCUGCGGAUCGCCAGAAACUUGAGUAUUUCACCUUCGGCUGUGGAAAGGAUUAUAGAAGAUCUGGGUUUAAAAGAGAGGAGGCUUUUUACUAGUUCUCGUUCCUCUGCAGCAUCCUUCCUGUCCUCCAUCUCCUGUCUUUCUCAUUUUGCCUCCCCCCCCCUCGGUCCUCCUCUCAGUGUGUUGCCUAGUAAUGGGACGGUCUCAGUGGAUCGGUGACUCUGCGGAGAGAGCACGGCCUGCGGGAGAUAAACGAGAGGGAGCGACAGGUCUGUUCAUCGCUGUCUGUCUCAUCCCUAUACAUUUUAAAGCCGGACCUACUGCAACUCUGCCUUCUAGAAAAUAAAUUUAUAUAUUUGUUUUGCCAACAAUGUUUCAGCAGUGAGUCUGAACAGAACCAUAAAAGGUUGAAUGCUUCAGUUUCUACGAGCGGCUGUUGUUGCAAGAUCAGAUAUUUUUGGCUGAAUGAACAUUUAGUUAUUCACACAACUCAUGAAAAAUGAUGGCAAUCUGAUGAGUGGCUGGGCAAAUCUGAACAUUCGCUAGCCA